rnacentral:rRNA from 1 species
UACGUAGGGGGCAAGCGUUGUCCGGAAUCAUUGGGCGUAAAGAGCGUGUAGGCGGUUCAGUAAGUCUGCUGUGAAAGUCCAGGGCUCAACCCUGGGAUGCCGGUGGAUACUGCUGGGCUAGAGUACGGAAGAGGCGAGUGGAAUUCCCGGUGUAGCGGUGAAAUGCGCAGAUAUCGGGAAGAACACCCGUGGCGAAGGCGGCUCUCUGGAACGCAACUGACGCUGAGACGCGAAAGCUAGGGGAGCGAACGGG